rnacentral:lncRNA from 1 species
GAAAACAUACGCACACAUAAAAAAAACUCCAUCGAUUAUCCAGACAAACUUCAACUACUUUUCUGCGCAACCCAUCCCCCUACCCUGAAAAUCCACUGAACCUCUCUUACCCCUUCAAUCACGUCUGAGUAUCAGUAGCGCCCAGACCUUAUCCCUAUGGAAUCCCCUCAAAUCCUCUAGAAUGCAAGCUCCAAAAUCUCUUUACCUCUGAUAUCUCACAGAGAUUAAGGCUUCAUUGUUGACUGCAGACUCAUGGUUACUUGUUUUGUUGCCCAAAAUCCCAUCUGACUCAGAACCAUCAAUCAAAUUCAGAUUAUUGAGGAUAUAUUUUCAUCUCCUUUCACCUUUGUCAAAUUUGAAUCCCUUCCAUAUCUCAAAGGUUUAAGCUUUGAAAUUCAAAAUUGAUUAUUUUCUUGCUAUAAAUAGCUGCAUCCAAUUUCGUUGAAGACAGAGAAAAACCCAGUUAAAAAACCUCAAGAAAGCCAGUAAACAUUCAUAGCCUUGGAGAUUUAGAAGCUUUUACACAAUCAGAAACUCAAGUUUAAGAUUCAAAAUAGCAUAAACACAACAUAAAUUCAAAGUUCUUCGUGAUUUUCUUUCUUGCCAAUUCAAACCCGAGCUCGAGUUUGGGUUAAAGAGGUUGUGAUCCCACUGAAACCUCGACGUCGGAGCCUCAGUUUUUCUUUCCAACACAAGGUAAAUCAUUUUCCAUCUUAAUUAUGUUAUACUUAAUUUUUGUUAAUUAUUUAGUGUGCAGUUAGCCGGGGUGAUGGCUAUCUGUUUAGAAAGUAUAAAAAAGUGAAACAAAAGUAUUUUUGGGUUUACGAUUACGUGUGUUUGUGACUUGUGAUUUUACUUGAGUAGAUUUUAUCCCAUCCAAUUAUAUUACAUUUAUUUUGGUGAUUCUGGUUUGAGUCUGUCAUUCCCAUUUAUCCGAUCAUGAAUAUAAACAUAAGAUAAAACGGUGUUUGGUCAUCUGAUUUUGUUUAUCAUGUAAUAUGUUAUGACAUAUCUUAAUUCGUGAUUUAGAUUGAAUAAUUUUAAAUAUGAAGUUUUUAUUUGGAAUGGUCUGUUUCCAUUUUGGUUGCCAGUGAAUGCAAAUAUGAACCGGCUAUAUUCCAUGUAAUUAGUUAGGAUAUUAACUGGUGGUUUUGAGCCUGAACACGUGAAGCAAAAAUCUAUUUUCGGCUCUUUGAUUCCCUAAAAUUGGUCAUUUCAUAGGUUUGUUUUGUCUUUAGAUGUGUAAUAAUACGUGGAAUAGAGUUGAUAAUAUGAGAGGUUGUGUUUGGUCGAGAAGUGUAGGACUUAAAAUCCAUCCUCUUAUCCCAUCUCUGCCUCUUUCCAUCCGUCUGUUUUUGUUCUUUGGUACAUGAUCUAUUUUGGCGUCAAGCCAUACUGAUAUUGCUAUCUACUUUCCGGAAAAGCGAGUGUUGGCAAAUCGAGUUCAACAAUACAAUUUAGCCUUGACUGUCCUUUGUUACAAUAUACAGUUGCUUUGCGUCUAAACAUACAAAUUUGCUCUUCCGUCUCACCUUCAUCAUCCUUUCUUUCAUUUUAUUUAGGUUUUGUGAACAUGUUGUUUUGAAAUAAUUUCGAUCAAAAUUUGAGUUGUUGACAUAGACUCUAGAAAACAUGGCUUUUUAUCUGAAUGUGUUUUCUGUGUAUACGUAUGUAUGUCCCUUGACCCGUCAUCGUAUUGUUGUAGAUUACUCGCGAAUAAAAAAUUGAUCAUCUUAAAUUUAUGUGGUUUCGAUGUAUGUGUCUGCUUUAUAUCUAGAAUACGCCAAAUAUAAGGAUUCCAUUUCCCUUUUCGGUGUCUAUCAGUGGAUAUAAGUUGGUGGAGAUAUGGGAAACUAUAUUUUGUUAAUGUGAAAAUCAUCUUAUUUCUCUGUUUCCGGUGAAACUUCGCCGAAACAAGUUGGACCAAGCUGCUAGUUCUCUCUUCUGUUUUUUCUCUGACUGUUCCCCAUCUUAUUCUCUCUCACCUCUCUCAUUUGUUUUCGCACGAUCUCUUUCCACUCACUAUUUUUCUCUCAUUUUCCCUGUUUUUUUUGCGUGUUUUUUUUCUAUUUCAUACUAUUUUCUUUUCUUGCUUUUCUACUGGUUUUGCCUAAGUUUAUUUGUGUGUAUUAGUAUGAGUGGGAAUGGAGGAGUAUGUGGGCGUGUGAGUGUAAUGUGGUAUGUGUUGGCAUAGUUGUGUGCGUGAGUUUUUCUCCAGUGAGUGUGAGUGUUUGUUGGUGAGUGUAUUGUUGUCUUUGUUGAAUUAAGGAGUAAUGUGAAUCACCUAGUUUCGUUUUGUUUGUGACUAUGGGGCUGCUCGUCUUUCAAAAUUCUUUAGAGUGUUUUCCAUCGAUGGACCCAAAAGACGUCUAGGAGUCGGUCUAGCCGAGUCACGUGUUUCCCUUUCAGCCAAUUGCGUUUUAAGGGCAAAUUAACUGUCAUUAUUCAAGUUCAAAAUUUAGUACUUCUUAGACUUGUGUUGUAUAAAUAAGAUAAGUGGUCAGGAGUCUCUUAAAAUUGGUGUUUGAUUCAUAUUUCUACAUGAACAUGUGUUGUCCUUUGUAGUUUUUAUUUUCCUCAAUUUGUGAGUUUCUCUGUUUGGGUCUAGAGCUCUUUAUUUUAUUUUUAGUAGGUAGAAUUAUUUUUUUCUCUGUAGCCAUCCAUAUCAUGUCAAAUAUGUUAUAACUUAUAUGAAUUUGAAAUUUUCUUGGGUGAUAGGUUUUUAAGGAGUCAUGUUGGUAGAAGUGCGUAGGUUGGGUUUUUGAUAUUGGCUUGGCUUUAUUCUUAUUUUUACAUAUAACUAGCAUAAACUUAUAGAUUUUUUUUUCAAAGUGGGCAAUUACUUAAGCAUAAAAUGAGCUAGUUACAUGGGAUGUCUAUAGAGAUCUAUUAUGGUAGCCCAAAAACCAGAGUGUACAUUCGUAGUGUGUGCAUUGUUCCUUGUACGAUAAUAUAUUCAUGCUUUCUGCAAAUUGAUUGCCUACUGUGAGUUAUAUUUUAAGUUUAUGUCUCGUUCUAUAUUUCAUGUUCCAUUCAUUUAAUGGAACUUAAAUCAUUUUUCUAAUCCUUGUCAUUUUGUUUCAUGUAAAUUGGGGAGUUAGAGUUUCAUUCGAAACUCGUCUUGACCCAAAGAUCGGGUCAACAACUACUAGGAUCGUCAGUGCUUGGAGUUCAUAUCGUAGGAGUUGGUUCUUUCAAAGGAAUUUAGCAUGUAUCAUCCUCACUUUUCUUUAUGUUUCUUAUUGUUCGAGUUCACUCCAUUUAUUGUGUUUCAUCGAUAUUGGCUCAAG